UUGCAGUUCCUCUCAAGGCUAAAGCAAGUUGGCACUCUGGAAAUGUAAGAAGAGAAGCCUAUGCAACUAUUCUCCACUCAGCUAAUUUUUAUGUAUGUGGAGCCAUAGCUGCAGCUCAGAGUAUCCGCUUGGCAGGUUCAACCCGAGAUCUUGUGAUACUUGUUGAUGAGUCUAUCAGUGACUACCACAGGGGUGGUUUGGAGGCUGCUGGAUGGAAGAUCCACACGAUAAAGAGAAUAAGGAAUCCUAAAGCUGAACAGGAUGCCUACAAUGAGUGGAACUAUAGCAAAUUUCGUCUUUGGCAGCUGACAGAUUAUGACAAAAUCAUCUUCAUUGAUGCAGAUUUGUUAAUAUUGAGAAAUAUUGAUUUUCUCUUUGAGAUGCCUGAAAUAACUGCAAUAGGAAAUAAUGCAACCCUUUUUAAUUCAGGUGUGAUGGUCGUUGAACCAUCAAAUUGCACAUUUCAGCUGUUGAUGGAUCAUAUUAAUGAGAUUGAAUCGUACAAUGGUGGGGAUCAGGGGUAUCUGAACGAAAUCUUCACCUGGUGGCAUAGGAUCCCAAAACACAUGAACUUUUUGAAACAUUAUUGGGAAGGUGAUGAGGAGGAGAAAAAGCAAAUGAAAACAUCUCUUUUUGGUGCUGAUCCUCCAGUUCUUUAUGUCCUGCACUACUUAGGCCUGAAACCUUGGUUAUGCUUCAGGGACUACGAUUGCAACUGGAAUGUGGGUAAGUUGCAGGAGUUUGCAAGUGAUGUGGCACACAGGACGUGGUGGAAGGUCCAUGAUGCCAUGCCAGAUAACUUACAUAAAUAUUGUUUGCUUAGGUCUAAACAGAAGGCUGCAUUAGAGUGGGAUCGAAGAGAAGCUGAGAAAGCUAACUAUUCAGAUGGUCAUUGGAAGAUCAAAAUAAAAGACCCACGUUUGGAAACUUGUUUUGAAGAAUUUUGCUUCUGGGAAAGCAUGUUAUGGCACUGGGGGGAAACAAACUGGACAGAUAAUGCCACCUCUUCACCAACACCUCCCAUGGUCAAUACUGCUUCACUUUCUUCUUUGUAACUAGGAGGUUCUGUUGCUAUACCUCGCUCGUCUGUAAGUAAUACGGAGUCACAACUUGAAUGUCAACCAAUGGCCAUUAGUACGCAUGGUGUUCGCACUUGCCCUACCCUUGAAUAUAGUCCACUCUGCAGCUGUGUUGCUUCAAUUGCUUCUCAUCUUUUCUUGUUUCCUAUACGACUGUUUUCUCUUGUCCUCAAGAGAUGUUCUUUUCUUAAUUGUCCUUUUACUUAAGUUAUAAGGGGAGCAUUGGAGCAAACAAUUAAGUUGUCUCCGUAUGGAUUCGUUCUGUGGGAACACCCCUUGAUGCUUGAGUCAGGGUAGGCAGACUACAUUAAACCCCUUGGAAUGUGGCCCUUCCUCAGACCAUGCGUGAACAUGUGAUGUUUCGUGCACCUGGUUGUCCUUUUUCUUUAUAAUAGUGGUAAAGGUAUUGUAUUGAAGUUCAGCAAAAUGCUGCAACGAGGAGUCACUGUCUCAUUGAGAAAUCUGUUUGUUUUGAGGCACCAUAUUACUGUUGUAGUGAGUGUACAAACGAAGCAGACUUACACUAUUUAUGUAUGUUGUUGAUUGUAGAAACCCAAUUUUUCAUCAAAGGAGGUUUGGA
rnacentral:misc_RNA from 1 species